rnacentral:rRNA from 1 species
AGAGUUUGAUCAUGGCUCAGGACGAACGCUGGCGGCGUGCUUAACACAUGCAAGUCGAGCGGGGAUGCGAGCCUGAUCGCUUCGGCGUGAAGGCUAGUGUCCUAGCGGCGGACGGGUGAGUAACGCGUGGGCAAUCUGCCCCCAAGACCGGGAUAACAGAGCGAAAGCGCUGCUAAUACCGGAUGACCUCUCUUUAUCGCAUGGUGAAGGGAGCAAAGCUACGGCGCUUGGGGAUGAGCCCGCGUUCCAUUAGCUAGUUGGUGAGGUAACAGCUCACCAAGGCGACGAUGGAUAGCCGGCCUGAGAGGGUGACCGGCCACACUGGGACUGAGACACGGCCCAGACUCCUACGGGAGGCAGCAGUAGGGAAUUUUCGGCAAUGGGGGAAACCCUGACCGAGCAACGCCGCGUGAGGGAUGAAGGCCUUCGGGUCGUAAACCUCUGUCUUUGGGGACGAUAAUGACGGUACCCGAGGAGGAAGCCCCGGCUAACUACGUGCCAGCAGCCGCGGUAAU